GGAUGAUACAGUGCCUGCCAUCACUGAGCUUGGGGUCCAGUCAAAAAAGAAGACAGAGGCGGGGGAAAUGGUCAAUAGCAAUCAAAGAAGAAAAGAACUAUAUGGAAAAUAACAGAAAACAAACGGUCAUAUGUCUUUCUGAAUCAGGAACUAAUGAAUCCCAGCACCUUGCUGGAUGCAGAGGAGGCUCAAACGUCGCUUGAUGACGGGGACCACCGUAGCAGGGCCCAGCACCAUACUGCAGUGCAGACAAGUCAAAGGUGUUAAGUGAACUGGGUGGAGCCAGCCAGCAGCCGGUGAGCAGCUCUCGUCUCCGAAAACUGGCCCUCAUACACAUUCGAUCUCAGCACCUGGAAACCUUGGCCUGGCAAACUUCGGGAUCCGCUGAACCUCAGAUCUGACCUGUAGUUGCUGGAGCGUCCCGCCGGCUCUGUAACUUUCCC
ensembl:lncRNA